CCCGCGGAGCCGCCGCUGCCGGGGCCGGGCCGGGCCUGGCGCGUCCCCUCAGUGCGGAGCGGCUGCCGCGGCGAGCGCGGCCUGCGCGCAGCGUCCUGGGCGAGUCCCCACUCCGGCACCGCUGCGGUGCCGAAACCGCCGGCGGCAUCAUGGCCCGCACGCGGCCCGCACCGCGCCCGCGGCUGCUGCCGCUCCUCGCGCUGCUGGCGCUGCUGGCGCCCCGCGCCCGCGCCUGGGACAGCGGCGACCUGGAGCUCUUCGACCUGGUGGAAGAGGUGCCGCGGAACUUCUACGACUUUCUGGGGGUUCAGCAGGAUGCUUCAUCUGCAGACAUUCGGAAAGCAUAUCGAAAGCUUUCACUGGUUUUACACCCAGAUAAGAAUAAAGAUGAAAAUGCGGAAACACAGUUUAGGCAAUUGGUGGCCAUCUAUGAGGUUUUAAAGGAUGAAGAAAGGAGGCAGACGUAUGAUGAUAUUCUGAUCAAUGGACUACCAGAUUGGCGACAGCCUGUGUUCUACUACAGGCGGGUGAGAAAAAUGAGCAAUGCUGAGCUGGCAUUACUCUUGUUCAUUAUACUCACAGUGGGUCAUUAUGCUGUGGUUUGGUCAAUCUACCUGGAAAAACAGCUGGAUGAACUGCUUAGCAGAAAAAAGAGGGAGAAGAAGAAAAAAACAGGCGUCAGGAGUACAGAUGAAGCCAAACUCGCUGCUCUAGACAAAAAUGAAAGAAUACUGGACAAACCACAAUGGCAUGACUUACUUCCAUGCAAGCUGGGAAUAUGGUUUUGUCUCACAGUGAAAGCUUUACCUCAGCUAUUCCAGGAUGCCAGACAAUUAUAUGUAGAAUAUAAAGAAACAAAAAUGAAGGCGAAAGAAGAUGCCCUGGCUAAGGCUGAACUUGAAACACUUCAGAAGGAGAAGAAACCUAAAGUCAAGAAACCGAAAUUAGAAUUCCCUGUGUACAUGGCUCUGGAAUCAAACACAUAUAUACCAUCAUAUGAUCAUGGAGCUUCAAUUGAAGAGAUUGAGGAACAGAUGGAUGAUUGGCUGGGAGGCAGGAACAGGACACAAAAAAAGAAGGCACCUGAAUGGACAGAGGAGGACCUAAGCCAGCUGACAAGAAGUAUGGUUAAGUUCCCAGGGGGGACCCCCGGUCGAUGGGAAAAGAUUGCUCACGAAUUGGGUCGAUCAGUGGCAGAUGUUACCAUGAAAGCCAAACAACUGAAGGAUUCUGUUACAUAUACACCAGGUACCAUUAGGCUCUCCGAGCUAAAAACGCUGGCCCAUUCCAAAAAUGUCAAAGUCAACGUGAAUUUGCCAGAUCACAUAAUCACCCAGCGAGAAAGAGAGGAGGAAGAGGAGGAGGAGGGAAACUACUAUCAUAUACGAGAGCAGAUGGAUGUCCAGACAGAUCCAAAGGAGACCAUUGGAAGUGAAACCAGACACCGCAAACGCAGAAUUGUCAAAGCACCUGAAGUGGCUCUGCUGGCACUGGAAGAGAAGGGCAGAGGGAGACGGCAGAGAGAUUUUGAUAACACUGACCAAGAGGAGGAGAGUGAUGAUGAGAUCAGAAGAAGAGAGAAAAGCUGUGCCCCAGAAGAACUGUGGACUCAAAACCAACAGAAACUUCUUGAAAUGGCCUUGCAGCAGUAUCCAAAGGGAACAUCAGAUCGCUGGGAUAAAAUAGCAAAAUGUGUUCCUGGAAAAAGCAAGGAGGAGUGUAUAGCAAGAUACAAGUUGCUUGUUGAGCUGGUACAAAAGAAAAGAAUGGCUAAAAGCUGAAUGUGAAUGAAGGUGUGUUUGUAUCGAAGAGCUGCUUAUGCAGAUGUGUGAUAACGUCUUAAAAAUGAGUGGACCUGUAGGAAAACCCCCUCUGACAAUCACACACUGAAACUGCUCUAAAGCCAUGACCAUAAAUAUCUUAUUCUUAUCUGGUCAUAUUUUGAAAAGCAAGCAAAUAACAGGAGAGUUUGGCCUGUGAGAAAAGAGUCAUCUUUCCUUUCCACUCUGGAUUUACAAGACUUUGCCUGGAAUGGUGUGCCCGGUUCAGUACAUCACACUUCAAGGAAGAUGCAGAGCAUCCAGAAGGGAGCAGAGGGAAUGAUCCAGUGUCUGCAAUGCCUGACUUGGUGGGAAGGACAGAAGGAAUUCUUGCUAUUUGCUCUACACUAGAGAGAAUCUUCCAAGUAUGUAAAAGGGAACUUUGCAUUUGUGUGAUCUCUGUGUUUCCCUGUUACAUGUCUGUGGUGGCUCUGAAGAAUAAUAAUGGGCUGACUCCGUUUGGAGUGAGAAUUAGCUUAGUUAGGUGUUGAGGCAAAAAAAAUCCAGUGGCAAAUGCAAUAAGGACUUGGGAGGACUUUGGAUUUCCAGCAAUAAAGAUAUCAAAGACUUACCUGAGUACCUGCUCCAGACCUGCCCAUAUCCCUGCUGUGUAUGGGGCAGUGGUUACACACUGCCUGCCCAACACAUUCAGCUUCUCUCCACCCCACACUUUCUGCAUGGGGGUCUAAGGAAGAAGAAGGACAAGAACUGCUGACUGCUAAGAAUUUUUUUGAGUUUAAGAAAUUCACAUUGAGAAACCUAAAGCAGUACUCCUGACAAAUCCAGUUUACUCGAAGGAAGAUUUUUAAGGAUGGGCAAAGAUUGUACAUGCCCUUCUGUCACACUUGCCAGUUUGAGCACCUGAAGUGCUGGAUGUCUCCUCUUGCCUGGAGAGAAGGGAGUUGAUGGAUUGCAUCCUUAUUGCUUGAAGUAACAACCUGCCUGAAAGUAGAGGGAAGUUGGCUGUGUCAGAGAAAUGCAUUGGCCUUUUCUGCAGUGGCACUGCUCCGGGAAUUGGUGACAGGGGCAACUCAGCAUCAAGAACCGGGAAGGUUUUGCAUAGCACUGCUGGGUCAUUUGGAACUGAAGGUCUUGGGAUGGGGAAUGUGAGUCAGUGUCCUGCAUCAGUGGAUCUGAUCUCUGCCACCAGAUGCCCAGAGAUAUCCAGCUGGGAGGCAGAACACGGAAUGAGGUACUGGCAGCUUCAUCCAGGGCCCAUCCAGUCUUAUUGUCAUGUUCAGUUCCUCAAGGGCCAAAGGAGCUGGCCCAGCCUUAGCUUCAGCUUUGGUGUUUGGUGGGGGGAGGAAGGUGGCAUGGCUGAGACUCCAAGACUUUGAGGGCCUCUCAAGAGCCUCUCCUGAGGGUGCCACAUGUUUUCUGGAUGAUGAAACACCUGGCCCUAACAGCAGUGGCUCUAGUCUGUGGUGACUGAGGUCAGACAUGAUGCUCACUAGAGAAGAAGAAAACUGUAGCCAGGGCUUGUUUCUAUCCAUGGAAACCAAGGUGACUCAAGGCUUGGGAGUUAAGCAACUUCUUCCAACUUUUGUUCUAGCACAAAAUGCAGAUUUCCUUAAGUAAUGUUAAUAUUUGCCUUCAAACAAAAUACGUUUUCUUUCCUGGGCAGUUGGGAGCUGUAGCUUGAUGGUGCUUUUUACACUGAAACUUUGUGUUCAGUCUCAGAGACAGUCUGUGCUGUAGCUUCUGUUCUCUAAGUCAGAUCUGAGCCUACUUUUGAGUGUCUUUGCAUGUCCCUCUUGAUGGGACAGGCAGAAUGCUGUGGAAAGGGGUAUUUGGUGCACAUGACCCAGGGAGGGCAAUAUUCCUGUGCUGAGGAUACAGUCCAAUGCCAGGCUAAAGCAUCAGAAUUUUGUAAAAUUACAGCCCAUCAACCAUACACAAGUGAAUGAGUAGAACAUGAGUGAGAUGCUGUGAAGGUUAACAGUGCUCUCAUUUAGGCUGUUUAGCUCUAGAGGAAAGACCAACAGAUGCUGUUCUGCAGUGUCUUCUUGCAAACCUAAAUGUUUGGACUACAUUACAUUCAACUUUACAGCUCUAAGUAUAUGUAAGUAUAUGAACUAAUUUAAAAAAAAAAAGAUGUUUCAGAAAAAUUUUGCAAUGUGACUUCUCUGUGAGAUGAUGGGGUCUGAAAACAACAGGAACACUGCGUGACUUGAGCUCUCCUUUAGGCAGAACCAACAGCAAGAUUUUAGUGCAGUGUAUGAAAAACAGGCACCAGAAAGUCGGUCAGUUCAUGUCUAAAGUGCUGUUGCUGAAAGAGUAGCUCCUGCUAAAACAGCUUGAAUGGAUAAAGUUGAUAAAACCAGGAUUUAAUAUGUCAAAGGCUGUCCAGAAUUAGUUGGCUUCUCUAAGCCGUAAGGGAUAUUAUCAUUGCUGUCAGUAAAGUGGGAUUUUGGUGAAAAACCUUCUGAAAUGCAGGGCAUUUAGUCUGUGCUGCUUAUGAGACUGAGCCCAGAGCAGCUCCCAACACAUGUGAGGGGAGCUCAGUAAUCAGGCAACUUGGCUGCCAGGGACCUGUGGAGUGGCUUGGGCUGCUCUGGCAUCCAAGGCAUCCCACAGGGACAGCAGUAUCGGCUUUACUGAACUGGUGCCAAAUCAGCCACAGACCAUCAUCUUUGAUGUCAGGAUCUGCAAAAUCAUUGAAACAAGGUUGGUUUUGACUACAUCUGGCCCUCAUGUGAACUUGGCUUUGAUGUGCUCUUUCUUUAAAGGGCUGCUGAACUGGAUUUUUGUUUGGAUGUCAGAACUGUCCUUUUCAUUUCCUUGCUGUUGCCUGUUGGUCCACCAGGACCAUGGUACUGUGAAACAGCCACUGCUAUCCUGGGCUGCUGGCACCAAUCUCUUCUGACAACUUCACCGGUAUUUCUAACUUUGUCUCUUCGUAUUUCUCUACAUCUUGGCAGAAGACAGGUCCCAGAGUUUAGGCACUCCCUCUCCAAUACAAGAAACACACAUGGAAAGGCAGGACUUAUCACUUUUACUGGUUUCUAUCGUAUUGUUCCAACAGGAGCAGGGCAAUUUACUGAUACUCGUCUAACAUAAAAACUUUUUGGCUUUGGCUUAUAUCCAAGAAUAAAGCAGCAGUCCCUGCAUCCAGCAGAAGGGACACCCAGGAUUCCCUGGUGGCCUUGUGCUGGCAGCAGGGUCGUACAGGGCUUUUCUUCCCCUUCCUCUCCAUGUCUGGCAGUGCCAAGUAUAACUCCAGGGCCCGGCCUACAGGUGCUCCGUGGUCUCCCUGCUCAGCACUGGCCAACAGUCAGUGCUCAACAGAGCCAGAAUACUGACAGAAUAUAGACCCAGGUCUAGAGCUCAUCUACACCGUGCACAGGUUAAUCAGUAGAAAUGGUUAAGUCUUCCAAACCUCUUCACCUCAGAGCAUAAACCAGUCAUCAAGUACCCCCAGAACAGAGGGAAUUUUUUCUAGCCCUGAUGGCCAAGGCACCAUUAAGAAGGUUGGGGUGGGGAGGGGAGUAGUACAUUCCCCCUUCACCAUGCCAAACAGUGUUUCACAUUCCCCUCCUGCUACUGCUGAGCUUGCCCAUUUACCAGUCUUCUUUCAGGACUCUGGUUUUCCCCAUUGGAAAAUGAAAAUAUUCAGUACUCAGAACUUGAGCAGAUGGAACAACAUACAAAUAGCACAGGCCUAUGGCAACACCAUCUUCCUGCUCCUUGUCCCAGAAGCUGCUCUCAGCCUGAGGCUCCCCCUCAUUAGCAAGGGGCUAAAAAUUGUGAGGAAGCCAUAAUGCAUCUCUUGUCUGCCAAAACCUGGACUGCAACCAGCCUCACGUUUUAUUUUCAAAUGACAGUAUGGGAAGGGUCAAAUUCUCUUUGCUGCCAGGGAAAUAAAAGACCAGGUGUCCCUUCUGUGGACAGUAAGCAAAAUUCAUGGAAAAAACCACUGAGCUGCUUUUAUAGAAAGUACAGUGCAAAGGUUACAGCAACAACCUUGGCCUCCAUCACCUGAGCCCCAGCACAGUGCAGAUAAAGAACCCAUCCCAUCCCCACAGAGCUCUCACUGAGUCACUUCAAAACAAACUGGGCCCAUUGGACAAGAGCCACUGCAAUUCCAGUCAUUUCUCUUUGAAGGGUGGAAGCAAAAAACUGACAUCAGACCCAGGGCUGCAACUGGGCAUUUCUGUUCUGUAAGCAGAACCAUCCCUGGACAGUUUUGCAGCUGCAUCAGUGUCUCUUGAAAGCAAAAAUUUACAUGAGCAACAUUUUUAAAAACUUGUUGUAAUAAAAUUUAGUGGCCACGUGCAAUUGAAAUCCUUCCUUUCUUGUGAUGUUAAUAGAAACACUCUGUUCUUCUACAAGAUUCACAUUCACGCAAACCACAUGCAAUGAU